rnacentral:rRNA from 1 species
UACGUAGGGGGCUAGCGUUGUCCGGAAUCAUUGGGCGUAAAGAGCGCGUAGGCGGCCAGAUAAGUCCGGUGUGAAAGUCAAAGGCUCAACCUUUGAAUGCCGCUGGAAACUGUCUGGCUAGAGUCCGGGAGGGGCGAGUGGAAUUCCUGGUGUAGCGGUGAAAUGCGCAGAUAUCAGGAGGAACACCAAUGGCGAAGGCAGCUCGCUGGAACGGUACUGACGCUGAGGCGCGGAAAGCGUGGGGAGCAAACAGG